rnacentral:rRNA from 1 species
AUUGAACGCUGGCGGCAGGCUUAACACAUGCAAGUCGAGCGGAGAGAAGUAGCUUGCUACUGAUCUUAGCAGCGGACGGGUGAGUAAUGCUUAGGAAUCUGCCUGUUAGUGGGGGACAGCAUUCCGAAAGGGAUGCUAAUACCGCAUACGCCCUACGGGGGAAAGCAGGGGAUCCUCGGACCUUGCGCUAAUAGAUGAGCCUAAGUCGGAUUAGCUAGUUGGGGGGGUAAAGGCCUACCAAGGCGACGAUCUGUAGCGGGUCUGAGAGGAUGAUCCGCAACACGGGGACUGAGACACGGCCCAGACUCCUGCGGGAGGCAGCAGUGGGGAAUAUUGUUCAAUGGACGAAAGUUUGAACCAGCCAUGCCUCGUGAAGGAUGACGGCCCUCUGGAUUGUAAACUUCUUUUAUCUGGGACGAAAAAAGAUCAUUCUUGAUCACUUGACGGUACCAGAGGAAUAAGCACCGGCUAACUCCGUGCCAGCAGCCGCCGUAAAAC